AGAGAGACAGCAAGAGAAGGAACACAGCAGAGGGAGUGUGAGAGGGAGAAGCAGACCUCCUGCUGAGCAGAGAGCCCGAUGUGGGGCUCGGUCCCAGAUGCUGAGAUCAUGACCUGAGCUGAAGGCAGAUGCUUAACGACUGAGCCACCUACAGGCUCCCUACCCACCCCCCCUUUAUUUUAUUUUAAGAUUUAUUUUAGGGAGAAGAGAGAGAGAGAGAGAGUAUACAGGGAGAGGGGCAGAAAGAGAGGGAAAGAGAGAAUCUCAAGCAGACCCCAGCUGAGCAUGGAGCCCGACAUGUGGCUGGAUCCCACAACUCCGUGAUCAUGAUCUGAGCUGAAACCAAGAGUCAGAUGCUUACCCAGCUGAGUCACCCAGGUGCCCCUUCCCUCUUCUUAAUAAAGACACAAGAUAAUAAAGCACAUGGGUCCUGCAUUUGGAAUGCAAAUCUGCCUGCAGAACCACAUCCUGGCUGAGCUGCUUGGGAGGAAACAGUUACAGCAGCUCUCGCCAGAAGAUUCCUUCUAGAAGAUUCCCCAGGAGAAUCUGUGACCACAGCACUUUCCUUUUGAAUAGGGGUGGGUGGUGAUGGCCUGGGGGAGAUCCUAAGCCAAAGCUAGACUGCCUGAAGAAACAAAUUGGUGUUCCCAUGAACACUUGCUGAAAAGCAUCCAAAUUGGACUGUCAGAGAAAAUGCAAGAAAAUGAUAAUAUAAGCGAAAUCAAUCAUGGUUUCAGAUAGUUUUGGAACCUGGGAAAGAAGUCCUAUGAAUGCUGGUCUGAGAAUUGUUCUAAUAGCUCACCAAGUAUUUGUUAAGUUUUUGAAUCACCUAAGACCAACAGGCUUUCUGAGGAAGGAACAAAGACUUUGGAACAGACAGUUCUGAGAAAGUCAUAGACCUGCUCCACGGAAUCUAACCGGCCUUAUUCACGGGAGUUUGAUAAACAACCCAGCAGCCUUUUCUUCUCGGCUUUCAUUUUCUCCCUUCUGAUCAUUCCUGUAUUUCAUGACUUCUAGUUCCUUCAUUCACUUUUACCCCCGAGGAUAGGGUCAUGGAGCAAUCAGGGAUACAUUCAGGAACAGAAUAUUAAAGGUGCCAUCCUUGUUCUGCGUUAAAGAGAGACCAUCAUAGAGCCAUGGAAAAUGAAGCAAAUCAUUCACCUAGGACGGCUCGGAAUAGAUCAUUCCCCCGGCUCUGCACCCAUCCUCCGUAAAUGAAUCCAGUGCUUUUCUACAGGAUUUUAAAAGAUUUUAUUCCUAAUCCAUUUUUCUCCCUAGAGCUUUGGAAAUAUGGCUCUGUAAUUUAAUGAUUACAGGAGAUGAGCAAAAGAAUGAACUAAAUAGGAUAACAUCAGCUUGCCUUGUAAUGAGGGGCCAAAUUUUCCAAAUAUAGAGCAAAAUCCAAUUGUGGGGCUAUUGUUUAUGAUUCCUCCUUAACAGUGACAUGAGAGACCCUGUGGGAACACAUACAGCACCUUUCCCACACAACGAGCCUUCCCCUUGGCUUGUUAGAGAGUUUGGAGAGAGAAGCCAUAACGAUCAAUUUCUCUAAAUCACCCUCACUGCCCUGGAUAGCAGUGGCUUUGUUGAUGGAACAAGACAUCCCCGAAGCAAUGAACAAUAACCACGAGUUAGCAGGAGAGACAGCAAGCCCCUGAAACAUCAGGGGAUUUUCCUGUGGCUGAUAAAAAGUAAGAGUUAGAAAGUGUAUAUAUGCUACAUCUUCUUUGUCCAUUUAUCUGUCGAUGGGCACUUGGGCUGCUUCCAUAAUGGAGUAUCCUGGAUUAAAACCCGGAAUAGGAAGGGGACCUUACCAGAAAGACGGACGAAAUGGGAAUCAAGUCUGCAGGUAAGUGAAUAGUAAUGCACCAAUGUUAAUGUCUUAGAUUUGACAGAUGCACCCUGGUUUGGUAAUAGUUUAGUUAGCCUUAGGGGAAACUGGGGGACAGGCAUAUGGAACUCUGUUCUCUGUACUUCAUUGCAACUUUUCUGUAGAUACAAGUUUAUUUCAAAAUAUAAAGCUUAUGUUAGGGGUGCCUGGGUGGCUCAGUCUGUUAAGCGUCUGCCUUUGGCUCAGGUCAUGAUCCGGGGGUCCUGGAUUGAGCCUCGUGGGGGCUCCCUGCUCAGUGGGGGAUCUGCUGCUUCUUCCUCUUCCACCCUCCCUCCAGCCCUCCAGCUCAUGCUCUCUGUCUCCCUCUCUCUCAAGCGUGUUCUCUCAAUAAAUACAUAAAUUCUUUUUUUUUUUAAGUUUGUGUUAAAAAAAAAAAAAAAGUGAGGGGGUGCCCGGGUAGCUCAGUUAAUUAAGCGUCAGACUCUUGAUAUCGGCUCAGGUCAUGAUCUCAGGGUUGUGAGAUCGAGCCCCAUGGGGCUCAGGGCUUAGCACUGAGUUGGCUUGUCCCUCCCUUUCCUCCUCUGCCCCUCCCCCUGCUCAAGUGUACCCCUCUCUCUCUUCCUCUCUAAAAUAAAUAAUUUUUUUUUUUUUUUAAGGCCACAUUUUCACUGGCUACUGGUGGGAGCGUCAAUGAGGGCAAGUGUUCUGACGCUACUCAUUUAAGGCUUUAGAAGCGCGCAGGCCCACUGACCUCUACCUUCACUCCCAGGAAUCCCUCCUGAGGAAGAGUCCGGGGUAUUCAUCCCAGCAGUCUCUGUAAUGGGGACAGUUGGCUUCAAGCUAAGAGGCUAACAUCGGGACCCCAGGAACAAUGAUGAUGUAGCCACACCAAGGAAUAUGCCAAGGUCCCAAAAGCAAGGUGAAGAAGUAAAUGUGAUGAGGGAAGACUGUCACCAUAUGUCAUGGAGUGGAAAAAGCCGGCCACAAACUAUUCGGUAUGGUGUCGGGUGUCUCUCUUUUUUAAUCUGUGCCCGCUUACGAGGAUGGUUCACCAACACAUCAAGAGUGGUUUUCUCUAGGUAGAUGAGAUUGUGGGUGCUAUGAUCUGGAUUGCGUCCCCUUUAAAUUCACAUGUUUAACCAACUGAGCCACCCCGGCAACCCUUAAAGCACUGAGCUCGGGAUGCAACUGACUGCAUUUGGAGAUAAGGCCUUCGGGGAAGCAACUAGGGUUAAAUGAAGUCCUAAGGGUGGGGUCCUGAUUCUGCCUCUGGAAUCAGGCCUUCGAAGAAGAGCAGUCUCUCCUUCCCGGCACCUGCACGUGCAUCAUGUGAGCACAGAGCUGAAGGCAGCUGUUUGCAGGCCAAGACGAGAGAUCUCACCAGAGCCCAACCACGCUGGCACCCCGGUCUCCAACUUCCAGCUUCCAGAGCUGUGAGAAAGCUUAUUGGUUCCUGCUGCUACCACUCCCAGCUGCUGGCCCAGGAAGCUGACCACAGAUGUACAGAUUAGUGUGUCUUGGCACAAAGCUCAGCUGUCCCAGCCCCCAGGAAGCCUUCUCCUGUCCCCACUUUGGGAAGGCCUCCCUCUGCUGCCUUGGAAUACUUGGCCAUGACCCAGGCUGUCCACCCUUGUGUUGCCGUGGAUUGACUGGCACCUGCCAUUCGUCUCUGGAGCUGUAUGUUCCUCAAAGAGCUGACCUGGGAUGCUAUUGCACAUUUUCCUCCUGGGAAAAAUAAUUCACAUUCAUCUCUGACUGAGGACUUAGCACAGUACUUGGCCCAUCCUAGAUACUCAACAAGAAUUUGUGGGAUGAAUAAGUGGAAAAACAAAAACAAAACAAAACACCUGUUGUAGGUUUGUCUUUUUCUCAAGGAACUAGACCACAGGGGUGACUCCAGUGCCUUUGGGUUGUCAUGGUGACGGUUUGAUCCACAAAAACAUUAUUCACCCAAACGGGGGCGUCUCCAGGAAGGUUAUCCUUCUUCACUUGCACCUGGGAGUGACUGUCUAAAGGUCGUGGACCAAGGAGUGACACCCACUGCCACAGGGCUUGGCAGUUCACUUGGCUUCUUCAUACUCAGAAGGGUCCUGUUACUUAUGACGAUGAAUUUGGUGGCAUUUUUCUUUGUAGUUCACACUUGAGAACCAAGGAAUGAAUACAGAUACUCUCACAGGCCAGCCCCAGUGUGGGGUAGCCCCUGUCUGAAAACAGUCAGAUAAAACAAAAUUAAUUAUAGCAAGAAAAUUUUAAAAAAGGAGUUCAUUCUGCCAGAAUGAACUCGAUGAAUUUAUCAUUACUGAGAUUUAUUUUCCUUUGAGAAGAAACACUUAUCAGAGAUGGACCUUGAUGAACCAGCGCUGGAAAGUGAUAACCGCUUGGUGACUGUGGUGAAGCCAGGGCGUAGGAGAAAGAGGAGAAUUGUUAACUAAAGACAGAAAUGCCGGUGGGAUGUUUCCUGUAUAUAUAUUAGCCUUGGACUGAAAACCAGUCAUUCUCCAGGGGUCCAACGUGGACCUUGUGGGGAGGAGAAUGUAUAUAUAUUUCCUACAAUUAUUUAUAUUUUUUUAAAAAAGGAAAUAUUCCUCUUUUUUCUAUAAAACCUUAUACAAUUUUAAAAUAUUACAAAAGUAAAUAAAAUCCAAGGUGUAUAUCCAUGUAAUCUUAUCUUGUAGUAGUGACCGCAUUGAGAGGACACUGGUCCUGCCAUAUCCCUGGGGAGGGGCCCUCAAAUCACCUGAAAACAGGUCUCAUAUGCACAGCCCACGCAAGGGGCAGUGAAUGUCCCUAUAGACCCAUCUGUGUGGGGUGAUUCUGAGGGCUCUCAGGAUAUGGAGUCCCAGGGGGGCCCAUAGCCCCCCUAGACCCACCCUUGGUUGGCUCGGCCCUCCCAGUCUCAUUACUCUUUCUGUUCUUCCCAAGGUCAUCUCUCAGAUAAAGUGCGUGCACCCAAAUGCUUGCCUCAUGGUGUGUUUGGGGAGCCCUACUGCUUUCUAACCAUCUCCUCAAUUUAUACUGUCUACACCCAGGAUCAGGGAAGAGUCAUGGCUGGGAGGUAUUCCUGCCUUUUUUACCUCAUUCUUUUCUGUCCUACCCAAGCCUUUCUGGUCCUCAUCUCUGUGUUCCUUUUGCUGCUCAGCUCUCUAGUCCAGAGUUCAUCUCUCUUCUCACGGAAUCACAUUCCCACCCAACACACCUUUUCUUCCUUCCUUCCUUCUUUUUUUGUAAAAAGGCUUUACUCACUUAUUUGAGAGAGAGAGAGAUAGCAAGAGAGAAGAGCAGGGUGGAGAAGGAGAAGCAGAUGUGGGGAGAGGAGAGGUUCCCAAACAGCAGAUUCUGGACAGUCUUAUCUCAGAAGCACACGGAUCACAUCCGCAUGCACAGGUUUGCACUUUUGCGAAGCCCUCUGUGGUACCUUCACCAUGUCUUGGGUAAGCAUCAACAGACUGUAAAUGUCUUGACAGCAGAUGUAGAUCUCACAUUCCUGUGGUCUCCCCUUCUGCCUCCUAGCAAACCCCAGGGCAGGAGCUGGCUGCUGCCGAGCAGAGAGGCCUACUAUAGUCAAGAGUCACCUCUCCUGUGCCCUUACCAG